rnacentral:rRNA from 1 species
GUUCCAUUCCGAACCCGGAAGCUAAGGCCCACAGCGCCGAUGGUACUGCAGCCGGGAGGUUGUGGGAGAGUAGGUCGCCGCCGGAC